GACGAACGCUGGCGGCGUGCUUAACACAUGCCAGUCGAACGGAAAGGCCCUUCGGGGUACUCGAGUGGCGAACGGGUGGGUAACACGUGGGUGAUCUGCCCUGCACUUUGGGAUAAGCCUGGGAAACUGGGGCUAAUACCGAAUAGGACCCCGCGCUUCAUGGUGUGUGGUGGAAAGCUUUUGCGGGGUGGGAUGGGCCCGCGGCCUAUCAGCUUGUUGGUGGGGUAAUGGCCUACCAAGGCGACGACGGGUAGCCGGCCUGAGAGGGUGACCGGCCACACUGGGACUGAGAUACGGCCCAGACUCCUACGGGAGGCAGCAGUGGGGAAUAUUGCACAAUGGGCGCAAGCCUGAUGCAGCGACGCCGCGUGAGGGAUGACGGCCUUCGGGUUGUAAACCUCUUUCAAUAGGGACGAAGCGCAAGUGACGGUACCUAUAGAAGAAGCACCGGCCAACUACGUG
rnacentral:rRNA from 1 species